rnacentral:rRNA from 1 species
UACGAAGGGGGCUAGCGUUGCUCGGAAUCACUGGGCGUAAAGCGCGCGUAGGCGGCUUUCUAAGUCAGGGGUGAAAUCCUGGAGCUCAACUCCAGAACUGCCUUUGAUACUGGAGAGCUUGAGUCCGGAAGAGGUGAGUGGAACUCCGAGUGUAGAGGUGAAAUUCGUAGAUAUUCGGAAGAACACCAGUGGCGAAGGCGGCUCACUGGGCCGGUACUGACGCUGAGGUGCGAAAGCGUGGGGAGCAAACAGG